CUAAAUUACUGCUAUGAAUUUCACAGUACACGCUUUCAAAAGCAGUCUCAGGUGGCCUGAUGAAACGUGAUAGCGCCUCUGCAAACAGAUCCACUUUCUUUCUUUUCAAGAGGGUGUGUGUGCGCGUAUGGGAAGCCCCCCAAAACGUUGUGCUCCUCGAUAACAGAAACACACUUCUGUUCCGAGGUCUGUCCCCUUCUUCCUCCCCCCCUUUCGUCGUACUUAAUUCUCGAAUCGCUCCCCGGCCUCUCUCCCCCCUCCACGCUGCCCCACCCCAUCCGCCCCCUCCCUUUGCGAGUGUGAUUGUUUUGUCUGGAAAAAAAAAAUCCAAAGUAUAUAACAAGGGGAGAACAGUUAGUGCUGAUUUUCAUUUGCAUACAUUUUCAUAUAUUUUGGUGAAAAUAAUAGACUAGUGGAGAGCUGGGCUUCGAGGCGUCAGUGUGAAGGGAAGGCUAAGGACGCAUCGGUGCUGGAGAGUUGAGAAUAUGCCUUCCCCUCCACCCCCAACCCAGUCACCUUAUUUGAAAAAAAAUUAAAAAACACCUUUUAUUUAAAAACCUAACCCUGGAAGUUUGCUCGGAAAAUGGAAAUCAACAUUUGAAACUUUUAAAUGGAAGCUUUAUUGGGGUUCCACAUAUGGAAAACUGCAAAUAGCAGAAGUAUGUGACUCAAUAAAUUAUUCUGGAGUGACCACAUCCUCUAACUGCCUCCCAGGACAAGACGGAGAAUGUGAACAAUGCUCCUGAAGGCCCCUUUCCCUCAAAGAAUCACUGCAAUUGAAGGAAAAAUGCUCCAUGUCCCCUCUGCCAGUUGGUGUUUAUCAAAGGACAACGGAGGAAGAGAGACAAAGUGCCUGGAUGUGUGUGUUAAUCAAGAGUUGUCAGGACCCUGCCUCUAAAAGAAAGCGCUAAAAUGAUGCUUUUGACAAGACUUUUCUCAAAGUGGAUGCAGUCUAAGGGUUGGAAAACAAGGCCCAAUCAGGCUAGGUCUGACUUGUCGCCUGCUUUUGUAAAUAAAGUU
rnacentral:lncRNA from 1 species